rnacentral:lncRNA from 1 species
GACACUUAACCAUAAAUUUACAAGAAUUUCACUGAAACACUAGAUUGAAUUCAUUAGUAAACAUAGGAUAUACUCAAAUGCUUUGAGCUCAUCAAAAUCAAAUAGGGUUAUAAUCAAUCACUCCACAAUCUCUCCCUUUUUGAUGAUGACAAAACAUUGAGUAUAUGUAAAGUGAAUUGCUCAACAAACAAGGAGAUUUAUAGUAAAAUUUUAAAAUGAAUUCAAGUGUCUGGUUAUUUAAUUUAUCCAAACCUGAAAGGUGUGAAACAAUAAAUUUUGAAGUUAAAGCUCCCCCUUUCAUUUGGAAUUAUAUAAGCCUUCAUGUCAUUCAAUCAAUUGUUUGGCUUAUAUAUUUUUAAUGAUUUUGCUUUCUUAAAAAUUCAGAUUCUCCCCCUCAA